rnacentral:tRNA from 1 species
GGGAAUGUAGCUCAGUGGUAGAGCAUUUGCCUACCAUGCCAGAGGUCUUGGGUCCAAUUCCCAGCACUGCAA